UACGUAGGGGGCAAGCGUUGUCCGGAAUCAUUGGGCGUAAAGAGCGUGUAGGCGGCUCGGUAAGUCUGCUGUGAAAGUCCAAGGCUCAACCUUGGAAAGCCGGUGGAUACUGUCGAGCUCGAGUCCGGAAGAGGCGAGUGGAAUUCCUGGUGUAGCGGUGAAAUGCGCAGAUAUCAGGAGGAACACCAAUGGCGAAGGCAGCUCGCUGGGACGGUACUGACGCUGAGACGCGAAAGCGUGGGGAGCAAACAGG
rnacentral:rRNA from 1 species